CGGAGAGAUGAGAGAGUAUAAUGUAUUCUGUUAUUUAGUAAUUAUAUUGAUAUAAUCGCUACCCAUUGACGAUGGAAAAUUGCCACUUGGAAAACGUAGUGUUACCCUUCAACGGCCAAGUCAAACAACAUUAACUAUAAUAAUAACGAAAUCGCAAUAAGGAACCUUAGACUUGGCGAGCUCUCUGAGGUUAUGGGAAGUACCUACUAGUUCUAUUUUGAUGAUCAUGAGCGACUCUCCACCAUACACAACCAAGAAAAUCGAGGCUGCGGACCAACGAAUCGAUUAAACCAAUCAACGCUGGAGAAA